AUAAACGCAUCGGGGUGCUGUGAAAAACAGCUGAGAUUAUACCCGGGGAACCUGAUUCUGGUUAGUACCAGCGAAGGGAAUGCAAGCUUCGAUUUU
rnacentral:ncRNA from 2 species